rnacentral:rRNA from 1 species
AUUGAACGCUGGCGGCAGGCCUAACACAUGCAAGUCGAACGGUAACAGGAAACAGCUUGCUGUUUCGCUGACGAGUGGCGGACGGGUGAGUAAUGUCUGGGAAACUGCCUGAUGGAGGGGGAUAACUACUGGAAACGGUAGCUAAUACCGCAUAACGUCGCAAGACCAAGAGGGGGACCUUCGGGCCUCUUGCCAUCGGAUGUGCCCAGAUGGGAUUAGCUAGUAGGUGGGGUAACGGCUCACCUAGGCGACGAUCCCUAGCUGGUCUGAGAGGAUGACCAGCCACUGGAACUGAGACACGGUCCAGACUCCUACGGGAGGCAGCAGUGGGGAAUAUUGCACAAUGGGCGCAAGCCUGAUGCAGCCAUGCCGCGUGUAUGAAGAAGGCCUUCGGGUUGUAAAGUACUUUCAGCGGGGAGGAAGGGAGUAAAGUUAAUACCUUUGCUCAUUGACGUUACCCGCAGAAGAAGCACCGGCUAACUCCGUGCCAGCAGCCGCCGUAA